GGUCGGAUAUUUUUAACGUUAUUUUAUCAACAAAUUCGUCUCGACAUAACUUGCUAAUCGUAGAAUAUUUUAUCGAUCAAGAGAAGUAUUUUUAUUUAAUAUUGCUACACUCCAUUGCAUCAAUUUGCAUUGCUCUGACUGUAAUAAUGGGGACAGGAACACUGUUCAUGAUAUAUUUUCAACUUAUUUGUGGAAUGUUUACAGUUGCCAGUUAUCGUAUCGAACGCGCAAUGAGUGUCAAUAUGCUACAAGAUAUUAAUCUCAGACAAAAUAUUUUGACAUUUAAGGGUUUAAUUUGUGCUGUGGACAUUCAUCGGCAAGCUAUGAAGUUUGUAUACACUCAAUAAUAUGCGCGAGCCUUGUUAUAUGUAUAAUAACAUAUUUUUAUUUUCAAAGAUUGGCCAAACUCUUCCAGUCCAAUUUAGAAAUAAUGAUGUUCCUUCUAAUAAUAUUUGGAGUACUUUCUGGAUGCCUCAAUAUGUUUCAAAUUGUAUCAUGCAGAGACAAUAUCAGGGAAUUCUUAAUGUCCUCUAUUAACACAAGUGUCCUUGUUAUAUAUGCGUACCUAUCUAACUAUUGCGCUCAGCUUGCAACAGAUCACAAUCAUCAAGUGUUUGUUACCGCGUAAGAGAAACAUAUCUACAAAACAGUAUAACACUCCAUGGUAUUUAGCUCCAUUAUAUAUACAGAAAAUGAUACUGUUUCUCUUACAAAAAACCUCGAAAACUUUUAGGAUAAACAUCGGUGGAAUAUAUGACGGAUCCAUAGAAGGUUUUGCUACGCUAGUGAAGACCGCAUUAUCUUAUUUUACAGUCAUACGUUCUACACAAUGACGAGAUUAUAAUAGUUUAAAUUGACUAAUAGCACGCGUAUAACACAAGAGUGUAAAUCUUAAAAAUACAGAAAAAAUUAUUCAAGAUAUUAUUGCG